CCAGACUCCUACGGGAGGCAGCAGUAGGGAAUCUUCCGCAAUGGACGAAAGUCUGACGGAGCAACGCCGCGUGAGUGAUGACGGCCUUCGGGUUGUAAAGCUCUGUUAAUCGGGACGAAAGGCCUUCUUGCGAAUAGUGAGAAGGAUUGACGGUACCGGAAUAGAAAGCCACGGCUAACUACGUGCCAGCAGCCGCGGUAAUACGUAGGUGGCAAGCGUUGUCCGGAAUUAUUGGGCGUAAAGCGCGCGCAGGCGGAUAGGUCAGUCUGUCUUAAAAGUUCGGGGCUUAACCCCGUGAUGGGAUGGAAACUGCCAAUCUAGAGUAUCGGAGAGGAAAGUGGAAUUCCUAGUGUAGCGGUGAAAUGCGUAGAUAUUAGGAAGAACACCAGUGGCGAAGGCGACUUUCUGGACGAAAACUGACGCUGAGGCGCGAAAGCCAGGGGAGCGAACGGGAUUAGAUACCCCGGUAGUCCUGGCCGUAAACGAUGGGUACUAGGUGUAGGAGGUAUCGACCCCUUCUGUGCCGGAGUUAACGCAAUAAGUACCCCGCCUGGGGAGUACGACCGCAAGGUUGAAACUCAAAGGAAUUGACGGGGGCCCGCACAAG
rnacentral:rRNA from 1 species